rnacentral:tRNA from 1 species
UCCGCGGUAGCUCAAUGGUAGAGCAGCUGACUGUUAAUCAGCGGGUUCCUGGUUCGAGUCCAGGCCGCGGAG